AAUUGACGGGACCCGCACAAGCGGUGGAUGAUGUGGUUUAAUUCGAUGCAACGCGAAAACCUUACCCACCUUUGACAUGUACGGAAUCCUUUAGAGAUAGAGGAGUGCUCGAAAGAGAGCCGUAACACAGGUGCUGCAUGGCUGUCGUCAGCUCGUGUCGUGAGAUGUUGGGUUAAGUCCCGCAACGAGCGCAACCCUUGUCAUUAGUUGCUACAUUCAGUUGGGCACUCUAAUGAGACUGCCGGUGACAAACCGGAGGAAGGUGGGGAUGACGUCAAGUCCUCAUGGCCCUUAUGGGUAGGGCUUCACACGUCAUACAAUGGUCGGUACAGAGGGUUGCCAAGCCGCGAGGUGGAGCCAAUCCCUUAAAGCCGAUCGUAGUCCGGAUCGUAGUCUGCAACUCGACUACGUGAAGUCGGAAUCGCAAGUAAUCGCAGAUCAGCAUGCUGCGGUGAAUACGUUCCCGGGUCUU
rnacentral:rRNA from 1 species